rfam:Synechococcus phage S-CAM3 isolate 1010CC42, complete genome.
AUGCUAAUAUAUACAGUGUUCAAGAGGUUGCAAAGUCUGUUGUUCUGGACAGGGGUUCGAUUCCCCUCACUUCCAUUCUUGGGGGUGCCAUGGUUUCGACAGGGCAAAAAGGUUGUAAUUGUUGACGGAACAAAACCAUAGAUGCAAACACAUCUGAUUCCGCUGCGAAUAACAUCGUAGCAUUCUCCCGCAGCACCGUUGCUGCCUGAAUGGGAGAUGGGGGAUAAGUCUUCCUUCUAAUCCAACAGACUCUUUGGGGUGUGAUGCCCC